rnacentral:rRNA from 1 species
GACGAACGCUGGCGGCGUGCCUAAUACAUGCAAGUAGAACGCUGAAGGAGGAGCUUGCUUCUCUGGAUGAGUUGCGAACGGGUGAGUAACGCGUAGGUAACCUGCCUGGUAGCGGGGGAUAACUAUUGGAAACGAUAGCUAAUACCGCAUAAGAGUAGAUGUCGCAUGACAUUUGCUUAAAAGGUGCAAUUGCAUCACUACCAGAUGGACCUGCGUUGUAUUAGCUAGUUGGUGAGGUAACGGCUCACCAAGGCAACGAUACAUAGCCGACCGGAGAGGGGGAUCGGCCACACUGGGACUGGGACACGGCCCAGACUCCUACGGGAGGCAGCAGUAGGGAAUCUUCGGCAAUGGACGGAAGUCUGACCGAGCAACGCCGCGUGAGUGAAGAAGGUUUUCGGAUCGUAAAGCUCGGUUGUAAGAGAAGAACGAGUGUGAGAGUGGAAAGUUCACACUGUGACGGUAUCUUACCAGAAAGGGACGGCUAACUACGUG